AUUGAACGCUGGCGGCAGGCCUAAUACAUGUCAGUCGAGUGGUAACAGGAAACACCUUGCUGUUUCGCUGACGAGUGGCGGACGGGUGAGUAAUGUCUGGGAAACUGCUUGAUGGAGGGGGAUAACUACUGGAAACGGUAGCUAAUACCGCAUAACGUCGCAAGACCAAAGAGGGGGACUGUCGGGCGGCUUUCCAUCAGAUGUGCCCAGGUGGGAUUAGCUAGUAGGUGGGGUAACGGCUAACCAAGUCGACGAUCCCUAGCUGGUCUGAGAGGAUGACCAGCCACACUGGAACUGAGACACGGUCCAGACUCCUACGGGAGGCAGCAGUGGGGAAUAUUGCGCAAUGGGCGCAAGCCUGACGCAGCAAUGCCGCGUGUAUGAAGAAGGCCUUCGGGUUGUAAAGUACUUUCAGCGGGGAGGAAGGGAGUAAAGUUAAUACCUUUACUCAUUGACGUUACCUGCAGAAGAAGCACCGGCUAACUCCGUG
rnacentral:rRNA from 1 species